GCAUAUCAAUAAGCGGAGGAAAAGAAACCAACAGGGAUUGCCUUAGUAACUGCGAGUGAAGCGGCAAGAGCUCAAAUUUGAAAUCUGGCACCUUUGGUGUCCGAGUUGUAAUUUGUAGAAGCAUCUUUUGGAUUGGUCCUUGCAUAUGUUCCUUGGAACAGGACAUCAUAGAGGGUGAGAAUCCCGUUCAUGGUGGGGAAUCCAAUUCUUUGUAAAGUGCUUUCGAAGAGUCGAGUUGUUUGGGAAUGCAGCUCUAAGUGGGUGGUAAAUUCCAUCUAAAGCUAAAUAUUGGCGAGAGACCGAUAGCGAACAAGUACAGUGAUGGAAAGAUGAAAAGAACUCCGAAAGGAGAGUGAAAAAGGACGUGAAAUUGUUGAAAGGGAAGUGCUUGAGAUCAGUCUUAAGGUUUAGUGAUCAGUCUUCCUUUUGGUUGGUGCACUCACUAUUUCUUAGGCCAACAUCAGUUUUCGCGGUAGGAUAAUGACAUUGGAAUGUGGCUCUUUCGGGAGUGUUAUAGCCUUUGUUGAUACUACCUGCUUAGACUGAGGACUGCGUAUUUUGCUAGGAUGUUGGCAUAAUGAUCUUAAGCAGC
rnacentral:rRNA from 1 species